rnacentral:rRNA from 1 species
GCAUAACGCGAAGAACCUUACCAGGUCUUGACAUCCCUCUGACCGAUCCUUAACCGGAUCUUCUCUUCGGAGCAGAGGUGACAGGUGGUGCAUGGUUGUCGUCAGCUCGUGUCGUGAGAUGUUGGGUUAAGUCCCGCAACGAGCGCAACCCUUAUCUUUAGUAGCCAGCAGUUCGGCUGGGCACUCUAGAGAGACUGCCAGGGAUAACCUGGAGGAAGGUGGGGAUGACGUCAAAUCAUCAUGCCCCUUAUGAUCUGGGCUACACACGUGCUACAAUGGUGAUAACAAAGUGAAGCAGCCUCGUGAGAGUGAGCAAAUCACAAAAAAGUCAUCUCAGUUCGGAUUGUAGUCUGCAACUCGACUACAUGAAGCUGGAAUCGCUAGUAAUCGCGAAUCAGAAUGUCGCGGUGAAUACGUUCCCGGGUCUUGUACACACCGGAGGUCGGUGGGGGAGGGGCAA